rnacentral:rRNA from 1 species
UACAGAGGGUGCAAGCGUUAAUCGGAAUUACUGGGCGUAAAGCGUGCGUAGACGGUUAUGUAAGUCAGAUGUGAAAGCCCAGGGCUCAACCUUGGAAUUGCAUUUGAGACUGCAUAGCUAGGGUGCGGAAGAGGGAAGCGGAAUUUCCGGUGUAGCGGUGAAAUGCGUAGAUAUCAAGAGGAACGACCGGUGGCGAAGGCGGGUCUCUGGGCCGUAACUGACGCUGGAGGAGCGAAAGCAUCGGGGAGCGAACAGG